UUACCACCAAGCAAAACCUUUUAUAUCUUUUUUUUUUCUUCUUUUCUCUCUUCCUCUUCAGAUUCUUCAUCCCAUGAAACAAACAUUUCCUCACUCUUACUCUCUAAUUAUGUGCCACUUGAUUAAUCAGAUUUCUUCUUCUUCAAGAUCUGAUUUCUUCGACAAUUCUCAUGUUGUCUAAAAGUCCCUCUUAUGGUGAUAAAAUGCUAGAUCUAUGAUGUGUCACAAAACAGAUGCGAGUUGAGAGGGUUGGGAUGAAGGAUUUGGGUUCUUCAAUUCGAUGAAGCUAUUCUUGGUUGUGAGGCUGAAGCGUGUUGGGUUCACAAAGUGUUGUUCAGAAACUGGAGACUUGGAAAAGAACUAAAGACGCAAGUGUUGUUCUAUUCGUAUGUCUCAUGGAGACUAUAAUUAUUAAUCAGCUCGAGCUGAAGAAACGGGGACGAGUGGCCGUAUAAAGCAAGCCAAAGGCGGCUGAACUCCGGUGUUGAUGUCCAAAUCGGGUUCAAUUAAGAUGUUUUAGUUCGGUGUUUAAUGGGGUCGAAGUUCUCUUUAUUAUAUGAAAAGUCGAGCUAUAAUUUGUAUUUUACGAGAUAAAAAUGACGAGAGGAAAGAUAAAUAACGAGCUGCGAGUUCGCUAAUUCGAUCCUUCGAGAUUCUAUUCUCUUGUACAAAUUCUCUCUCUCUUUUUCCGUCCUUUUCCCGUACGCCGUACAGUCAUUAUUUAUAGAUUUCUGUGUCGGUUCGUCCUCCGAAAAGAUCAAAAUGACCUUCUGUGGCCUAUUGAUUCUUUUGGGCCUUUUCUGGGCCGGGCCUGUUGUGGGAGUGAGAUCCACCCCUAACAUCCAGAAGAGUUUAGUAUUACCUAGUCACUGCUUUGACAUUUAUAAUUUGCGGAUCACUAGUUCCAACAUCAAGAUGUGAAUUUUCUUACUUUAUGCAGGAGGAGACAUUGAGACAAGCA